rnacentral:lncRNA from 1 species
GGGACUCAUGAUAGAGGGACUGUAUCAUAUAUUAACUGCACCUAGAGAUUCAUCACUUUUUAUUCUACUGGAUUGCCACUACAUACUGCUAGGUGUCACUGGUGGAUUAUGAGAUCCAUGAGCAUCAUCUUGAUGAUCAAUGAUCCUUGAUGGGUAGAGUUGGAAUGGUUCCAAUCUAUUGAUAGGAGUUUUAAUGAUAUUGUGAUAGAGAUCACAAGAUAUAUCACUACGAGAUAAAA